rnacentral:rRNA from 1 species
CAUGCAGGCGGUUUGGCGCGUUUGGUGUGACAGCGGCUGGCUUAACUAGCCGAGCAUACGAAAGACGGCCAGACUUGAGGACUCGAGAGGGACACGGAAUUCCGGGUGGAGUGGUGAAAUGCGUAGAGAUCCGGAGGAACACCGAAGGCGAAGGCAGUGUCCUGGCGAGGUUACCUGACGCUGAGGUGCGAAAGCCAGGGGAGCGAACGGGAUUAGAUACCCCGGUAGUCCUGGCCGUAAACGAUGACCACCAGGUGUGGGAGGUAUCGACCCCUUCUGUGCCAAAGGGAACCCAUUAAGUGGUCCGCCUGGGGAGUACGGUCGCAAGAUUAAA